rnacentral:tRNA from 6 species
GCCUCCGUAGCUCAGUUGGAUAGAGCAACCGCCUUCUAAGCGGUAGGUCGCGGGUUCGAGCCCCGCCGGGGGUA